rnacentral:rRNA from 1 species
GACGAACGCUGGCGGCGUGCCUAAUACAUGCAAGUCGAACGCAGUGGGGACGGGUGAGUAACACGUGGGUAACCUCCCAUCAGAGGGGAUAACACUUGGAAACAGGUGCUAAACCGAUACUGAUGGAUGGACCCGCGGUGCAUUAGCUAUUUGGUGAGGUAACGGCUCACCAAGGCCACGAUGCAUAGCCAGCAGGAGAGGGGGAUCGGCAACACUGGGACGGAGACACGUGCCAGAUUCCGACGGGAGGCAGCAGUGGGGAAUAUUGGACAAUGGGCGAAAGCCUGAUCCAGCCAUGCCGCGUGUGGGAAGAAGGUCUUCGGAUUGUAAAGCACUUUAAGUUGGGAGGCGUUACCAACAGAAUAAGCACCGGCUAACUUCGUGCCAGCCGCCGCGGUAAUUC